rnacentral:tRNA from 1 species
GAGAGAAGCUUGCCAGCAACGAGGGCUGCUACCCCUCGUACCCUUGGUUGAAUCCCCAGGUUCCCUCG